rfam:Triticum aestivum genome assembly, contig: Triticum_aestivum_CS42_TGACv1_scaffold_344346_4DL
UAAGUACUCCCUCCAUCCGAAAAAGCUUGUCCCAAACUUGUCCCUCAAAUGGAUGUAUCUAGCACUAAUUUGAUGCUAGAUGCAUCCAUUUGAGGGACAAGUUUUUUCGGAUAGAGGGAGUAGAAU